rnacentral:lncRNA from 1 species
UUGGGUGGUUUGGGGUUUGUCGGAUUUGGACGUAACUGUUCCCUACUUUCUGUUCUUGCAGCCAUUGGUUAUAGGGAAGUGAAUUUUUGUUUUCAUGGAGCGGCCAUGUUUGUCUGCUUGUGUUGAGGUUUCUUAGUUAAGUCUUUUAUGAGUAUCGAGAUUAUGGAUUCAGUUUUCUUCCUUAUAACUAAGGGUCUUGUAUGGAAGUUCUCAACUAAGAUAUUAAUUUUCUCCGGCAUGUGUUGUAGUUUGCUGCCAUGAGGUUUUUAGUCUAUACGACUUAUGUUCUUCGAUGAUCCAAUUGAUGAGGUCUCAUAUGGCUAUCGACACUUGAUAAGUACUCGGCCAAUUGUAGAUCUUUUGAUAGUUGCGUAAAAUACUUCUUCAGUUUUAUUAUUGCAGCUACUUAUCUUCUCCACUUCCAUUUCUUUUUCGUUAUAGUUAUUUUUGGUUGGAUGGAUGUGUAGACCAUGUGGUGACACUGUUAUGGACGUUAGAUUUGGAAAUUUCAAAGCUUGGUUAACCAACAUGUGAUCCUCUGCCACCUUUUGUCUUUUUUUUUAUGCUUGCACGACAAUCUUGAUGUUAUUUGAGUUUUGACCAAAGGUGGUUUGUUCGUUAGAUUUUCUCUCAAUUGUUCCCUUCUUUCUAUUCUUGCACCCAUUGGUUUACAGGCAGUGGAUUAUUCUUUUGACGGAGCGGCUGUGUUUGUCCGUUUGUGUCGAGGUUUUUUUAGUAAAGUCUUUUAUGAAUAUUGAGAUUUCGUUUCAGAUAUGUUUCCUAAUGGCUCUUCUGUCUUUGUCAAAACUACUGUUGUAUGGAUGUUUCUCAAAUACGACAUUAUUUUUCACCGGAGUGUGUAAUCUGCUGCCAUAAAGUUUUAAGUCCAGAUGCUUUUGUUCUUCGAUGAUCCAAUUAAUGACAUCUCCUAUGACUAUGGAC